GCUUACGGCCACACCACCCUGAGCGCCGAUCUCGUCUGAUCUCGGAAGCUAAGCAGGGUCGGGCCUGGUUAGUACUUGGAUGGGAGACCGCCUGGGAAUACCAGGUGCCGUAAGCU
rnacentral:rRNA from 1 species